rnacentral:lncRNA from 1 species
UCAAUAUUCAUGUUCCCUUUAUUUGCUUUUAGUGUAACAUUCCAUGCUAAUUGCAGAUGUAAUAUUCAUGAGUGUAAAUAUAAGAAUUAACAACUCUGGACUGGUUUUCUUCCCUUUUGUUUUACAUGUGAAUAUUUUGGCUUACAAAAUUAACAGCAUACAGUAAAUAAUCCUCCCAUUUUUUGUACAAACUACAUGAUUUUGAUAUACAAGGAUUCUGUUUUUAUUACAGUGACAAUAUACAACCAUGUCUAUUUACAAUGCAAAAAGUAUAUAAACCACAUUUUAAACAUUCUGCUACUGGCAGCCACUAUUGUUUAGGAGGUAGCUUUAAUUAACAAAAUGAACUGAAGCCACAUUUCCCAUCAUGUGUUCUAUCAAAUAAUUUACAAUACAAAGAUAAAAAUUCAUUGUAUGAACAGUAUAUACAAUUUAAUUCUCGAAACAGCAAUCUAGCUUUAAAUCUUAACAAGAAUGUCUCCAGAGUAACUGGGAUGGCAGUGGAUUUGCUCUUAAAUUUAGCGUACUGUUGAAGAAACAUACAUAUAUUUACUUAAUCAUGCAUUCAUAAUUUUGUAUCAAUCAAUUUCAAACUAAAUAUAGAUAAAUGGAUCGCUGAUUGUACUUAAAUCAUUUGGGUCUCAGGACUUCAAUGGUUUAAAACUAUUGCACUGAUUUACAUGAAAAUCAGUGACUCUGCACAGUGCACUUCACUCAGUAAAAUAAUUGGAAAAAUGCUUUAUUGCAAAAAUGCUUUCUGUUUUCCCUCCAUUUGCUAAAAUCUCAGUCUAUUCAUAGGUAUUGUGGAUUACAGGUGCUUGAUUGCAACAAAACGUUUUUGUUAAAAAUUGAGUAUUCUGAAAUACAAAACAAACAUGGUAUUCCUAUAUUGCUGUCACAGUUAUGUGUGGGAGAAUUAAUCCCAUUUUUGGCCCUGCAGUAAAAUUCAUCCUGAGAUUCAAUGCUGAAUACACUAUACAAAGCUAGCAAGAGAGGUUUUUUGCUCAAUUAUAGAAAAGUCACAUUUAAAAAUAAUUUCUUUUACUAUUAAACAUCUG